rnacentral:rRNA from 1 species
CCUACGGGAGGCAGCAGUGAGGAAUAUUGGUCAAUGGGCGCGAGCCUGAACCAGCCAAGUAGCGUGAAGGAUGACUGCCCUACGGGUUGUAAACUUCUUUUAUAAAGGAAUAAAGUGAGGCACGUGUGCCUUUUUGUAUGUACUUUAUGAAUAAGGCUCGGAUAACUACGUGCCAGCAGCGGCGAUAAUAAGGAGGAUCCGCUAUUUAUCCGGAUUUAUUGGGUUUAAAGGGAGCGUAGAUGGGUUGUUAAGUCAGUUGGGAAAGUUUGCGGUGCAACCGUAAAAUUGCAAUUGAUAAUGGCAGUGUUGAGUACAGUUGAGGUAUGCGGAAUUCGUGGUGUAGCGGUGAAAUGCUGAGAUAUCACGAAGAACCCCGAUUGCGAAGGCAGCUUACUAAACUGCCACUGACAUUGAUGCUCGAAAGUGUGGGUAUCAAACAGGAUUAGAUACCCCAGUAGUC